rnacentral:pre_miRNA from 1 species
CUUGUACUCCCUCCGUCUGAAAAUACUUGUCAUUGAAAUGGAUGUAUCUAGAUGUAUUUUAGUUCUAGACACAUCCAUUUUGAUGACAAGUAAUUCUAGACGGAGGGAGUACUUG